rnacentral:rRNA from 1 species
AACGAACGCUGGCGGCAGGCUUAACACAUGCAAGUCGAGCGCCCCGCAAGGGGAGCGGCAGACGGGUGAGUAACGCGUGGGAAUCUACCCAUCUCUACGGAAUAACGCAUGGAAACGUGUGCUAAUACCGUAUACGUCCUUCGGGAGAAGGAUUUAUCGGAGAUGGAUGAGUCCGCGUUGGAUUAGCUAGUUGGUGGGGUAAAGGCCUACCAAGGCGACGAUCCAUAGCUGGUCUGAGAAGAUGAUCAGCCACACUGGGACUGAGACACGGCCCAGACUCCUACGGGAGGCAGCAGUGGGGAAUAUUGGACAAUGGGCGCAAGCCUGAUCCAGCCGUGCCGCGUGAGUGAUGAAGGCCCUAGGGUUGUAAAGCUCUUUCACCGGUGAAGAUAAUGACGGUAACCGGAGAAGAAGCCCCGGCUAACUUCGUGCCAGCCGCCGCCGUAACAC